rnacentral:rRNA from 1 species
CUACGGUGAAUACGUUCCCGGACCUUGUACACACCGCCCGUCAAGCCAUGGAAGCUGGGUGUACCUAAAGUCGAUAACCGCAAGGAGUCGCCUAGGGUAAAACUAGUAACCGGGGCU